UGAACCCCUCCUCCUCUCUGUUCUAAUAGCCUUCAUUCUGUGUGUGAAUCCCUCCUAACGAGAUGGAUUUUAAGGCACUUCUUAAAAGAUGCAAGAAUAGGGGAGAGUCUGAUGUCGGUAGACAUGCUAUUCCAUAGGAAGGGAGUCGCCUGGGAGAGGUCCUACAAGUGUAAGUUGGCUGUACGGGUGCGUGCAAUGGACAGGAGAAGGUCACAAGGCAGAGCGGAGAGACCGAGAAGGGGCAUACCUAUGGAUCUGUGAAGAGCUAUAAGAGGGGCUAGAAUUGUUCAGUGCUUUUAUAGGUAUGGGGGGUAUAAUUAAAAAAGGAGACACUGAAUGAGCGUUGAGAGAGAGAGAGAGAGAGAGAGGAGGAGAACCACGAGAGGACAGUGUCACAGAGACCGAGUGAUUGAAGAAGGAGAGCAUGAUCAACAGUGUCAAAAGCAGCAGAGAGGUCAAGAAGAAUUACUAUGGAGUAGUGGCCUUUGGAUUUAGCUGCGAUUAGGUCAUUAGUAACUUUGAUAAGAGAAGAGGGUCAAGGAGAGAGUUGGAAUUGAGGAAGUGAGACAUACGGGUAAAGACCAGUCUUUCCAGAAGUUUUGAGGAAAAAGGAAGUAGGGAUAUGGGACGAUAGUUAGAGGGGG